rnacentral:sRNA from 1 species
GAAUGAGAGGGCCAUCUGGCCGGAGCAUCUGUUACUGAACUGGUUGCCAGGAUUGUUUCCACUGAUCUGACUGGCUAAGUGGGUGUCCCUUUCCUCCUUAUGUCAGCCCCUCCGAAAGCCUAUGGGUGGAGUGGAGUCUUCCUUUUCUUUGGUCAGCAGUACCUGCGUCCCAAAGCUCGCUUGCUGGAACCUCAAAACAAGCUCUCUUUUCACAAGGGGCCACCACAGUAAUGUCUUUUCUGCCUACUUCUUAUAAGUAUUGUGAACAGCAAAUACAAUUA